GAAAACGACUGCUAAGACUGGAUAGGAGACAAGAAGGCAUCUUCUUGUUUUUAAAAGACCUAGCAAUAGGUAUGCUUAGGGAGGAGCUUGCGUCACAUUAGUUAGUUGGUGGGGUAAAGGCCUACCAAGACUAUGAUGUGUAGCCGGGCUGAGAGGUUGAACGGCCACAUUGGGACUGAGACACGGCCCAAACUCCUACGGGAGGCAGCAGUAGGGAAUUUUCGGCAAUGGAGGAAACUCUGACCGAGCAACGCCGCGUGAACGAUGAAGUAUUUCGGUACGUAAAGUUCUUUUAUUAGGGAAGAAUAAAUGAUGGAAAAAUCAUUCUGACGGUACCUAAUGAAUAAGCCCCGGCUAACUAUGUGCCAGCAGCCGCGGUAAUACAUAGGGGGCAAGCGUUAUCCGGAAUUAUUGGGCGUAAAGGGUGCGUAGGCGGUUAAAUAAGUUUAUGGUCUAAGUGCAAUGCUCAACAUUGUGAUGCUAUAAAAACUGUUUAGCUAGAGUAAGAUAGAGGCAAGUGGAAUUCCAUGUGUAGUGGUAAAAUGCGUAAAUAUAUGGAGGAACACCAGUAGCGAAGGCGGCUUGCUGGGUCUUUACUGACGCUGAGGCACGAAAGCGUGGGGAGCAAACAGGAUUAGAUACCCUGGUAGUCCACGCCGUAAACGAUGAGUACUAAACGUUGGGUAAAACCAGUGUUGAAGUUAACACAUUAAGUACUCCGCCUGAGUAGUACGUACGCAAGUAUGAAACUUAAAGGAAUUGACGGGACUCCGCACAAGCGGUGGAUCAUGUUGUUUAAUUCGAAGGUACCCGAAAAACCUCACCAGGUCUUGACAUGCUUCUGCAAAGCUGUAGAAACACAGUGGAGGUUAUCAGUUGCACAGGUGGUGCAUGGUUGUCGUCAGCUCGUGUCGUGAGAUGUUGGGUUAAGUCCCGCAACGAGCGCAACCCUUAUUGUUAGUUACCAGCACGUAAUGGUGGGGACUUUAGCAAGACUGCCGGUGAUAAAUUGGUGGAAGGUGGGGACGACGUCAAAUCAUCAUGCCCCUUAUGACCUGGGCUACAAACGUGAUACAAUGGCUGUUACAAAGGGUAGCUGAAACGCAAGUUUUUGGCGAAUCUCAAAAAAACAGUCUCAGUUCGGAUUGAAGUCUGCAACUCGACUUCAUGAAGUUGGAAUCGCUAGUAAUCGCGAAUCAGCAUGUCGCGGUGAAUACGUUCUCGGGGUUUGUACACACCGCCCGUC
rnacentral:rRNA from 1 species